CGCGUAGGCGGCGGUGUAAGGACCACGUGAAAGCCCUCGGCUCAACCGAGGAAGGGCGUGGUCGACUGCACGGCUAGAGUUCUGGAGGGGGAGGCGGAAUUCCUGGUGGAGCGGUGAAAUGCGUAGAGAUCAGGAAGAACGUCAGUGGCGAAGGCGGCCUCCUGGACAGAAACUGACGCUGAGGUGCGAGAGCGUGGGGAGCGAACG
rnacentral:rRNA from 1 species